rnacentral:lncRNA from 10 species
CCUUGUGGCUCCCUCCUCCACACCAUCCUGGGCCACUGUGCUCUGCCCUUUCUCGCUUCUCCUCUCCUGCUGAUCUCAUUCCUACUCUCAUCCCAAGGCUCAUCUCAAAACCCACCUCCUCCAGGAAGCCUCCUCGGACCACCCCAUCCCAGCAUGACAGCUGCAUGCCACGGCAGAAGGAGCCCUGAGUUCCAGGCUUGGCCUAGCCAU